rnacentral:lncRNA from 1 species
AACUCAUAUAUUUUUGUAAGGGAUUUGUAGUAAUUUGCUCUGUUGCAUACAAUUAUCUAUCAUGCACUCGUAAUCUGUUUCGGUAUCUAGCACCCUUAUGCCUUAAUUAGCAUUUGAGAUGUCACAUAUGGAUUAUCAGAGUAGUUAUGCGGACCAAAUCCCUUACAACUGAGGCUGUAGGUAGAAAACGCUUUAGAAUAUCUAGGAAAAUGAGUCAUCUUGCCAAAUUUAGACCACCAACUCAUGUCUUCCUUU